rnacentral:rRNA from 1 species
AGGGAAUCUUCCACAAUGGACGCAAGUCUGAUGGAGCAACGCCGCGUGAGUGAAGAAGGCUUUCGGGUCGUAAAACUCUGUUGUUGGAGAAGAAUGGUCGGCAGAGUAACUGUUGUCGGCGUGACGGUAUCCAACCAGAAAGCCACGGCUAACUACGUGCCAGCAGCCGCGGUAAU